UACGAAGGGGGCUAGCGUUGCUCGGAAUCACUGGGCGUAAAGCGCACGUAGGCGGAUUGCUAAGUCAGGGGUGAAAUCCUGGAGCUCAACUCCAGAACUGCCUUUGAUACUGGCGAUCUCGAGUCCGGGAGAGGUGAGUGGAACUGCGAGUGUAGAGGUGAAAUGCGCAGAUAUCAGGAAGAACACCGAUGGCGAAGGCAGUUCUCUGGGACGGUACUGACGCUGAGACGCGAAAGCGUGGGGAGCGAACAGG
rnacentral:rRNA from 1 species